UACGUAGGGGGCAAGCGUUGUCCGGAAUUAUUGGGCGUAAAGCGCGUGUAGGCGGCUCGGUAAGUCCGCUCUGAAAGCCCGAGGCUCAACCUCGGGAGGCGGGUGGAUACUGUCGAGCUCGAGUCCGGAAGAGGAGUGUGGAAUUCCUGGUGUAGCGGUGAAAUGCGCAGAUAUCGGGAGGAACACCUGUGGCGAAAGCGGCGCACUGGACCACAACUGACGCUGAGGCGCGAAAGCUAGGGGAGCAAACAGG
rnacentral:rRNA from 1 species